CCUACGGGGGGCAGCAGUAGGGAAUCUUCCACAAUGGGCGAAAGCCUGAUGGAGCAACGCCGCGUGGGUGAAGAAGGUCUUCGGAUCGUAAAACCCUGUUGUUAGAGAAGAAAGUGCGUGAGAGUAACUGUUCACGUGUCGACGGUAUCUAACCAGAAAGCCACGGCUAACUACGUGCCAGCAGCCGCGGUAAUACGUAGGUGGCAAGCGUUAUCCGGAUUUAUUGGGCGUAAAGGGAACGCAGGCGGUCUUUUAAGUCUGAUGUGAAAGCCUUCGGCUUAACCGGAGUAGUGCAUUGGAAACUGGGAGACUUGAGUGCAGAAGAGGCGAGUGGAACUCCAUGUGUAGCGGUGAAAUGCGUAGAUAUAUGGAAGAACACCAGUGGCGCACGCGGCUCUCUGGUCUGUACCUGACGCUGAGGUUCGAAAGCGUGGGUAGCAAACAGGAUUAGAUACCCGGGUAGUC
rnacentral:rRNA from 1 species